AUUGAACGCUGGCGGCAGGCCUAACACAUGCAAGUCGAGCGAGCGGCGGACGGGUGAGUAAUGUAUGGGAACCUGCCUGCUGGAGGGGGAUAACUACUGGACUCGGUAGCUAAUACCGCAUACCAUCUGAUGUGCCCAGCUGGUAUUUGCUGGUUGGUGGGGUAACGGCUCACCUAGGCGACGAUCCCUAGCGGGUCUGAGAGGAUGACCAGCGACACGGGAACUGAGACACGGACCAUACUCCUACGGGAGGAAGCAGUGGGGAAUAUUGCACAGUGGGCGCAAGCCUGAUGCAGCCAUGCAGCGUGUGUUGAGAAGGCCUUCGGGUUGUAAAGCACUUUCAGCGGGGAGGCGUUAGCCGCAGAAGAAGCACCGGCUAACUCCGUGCCAGCAGCCGCGGUAAUUC
rnacentral:rRNA from 1 species